rfam:Caenorhabditis japonica strain DF5081 Contig16195.1, whole genome shotgun sequence.
ACCUGAAAAGGAUAACUGCGGAAAUUCUGGAGCUAAUACAUGCGACUAUACUCCAACGCAAGGCGGGGUGCAAUUAUUAGAACAGACCAAACGUUUUCGGACGUUGUUUGUUGACUCUGAAUACCGUCGUUUACUGUCAGUUUCGACUGACUCUAUCCGAGAAGGGUGUCUGCCCUUUCAACUAGAUGGUAAUCUAUUGGACUACCAUGGUUGUUACGGGUAACGGAGAAUUAGGGUUCGACUCCGGAGAGGGAGCCUUAGAAACGGCUACCACGUCCAAGGAAGGCAGCAGGCGCGAAACUUAUCCACUGUUGAGUAUGAGAUAGUGACUAAAAAUAUAAAGACUCAUCCUUUUGGAUGAGUUAUUUCAAUGAGUUGAAUAUAAAUUAUUCUUCGAGUAUCAAGGAGAGGGCAAGUCUGGUGCCAGCAGCCGCGGUAAUUCCAGCUCUCCUAGUGUAUCUCGUUAUUGCUGCGGUUAAAAAGCUCGUAGUUGGAUCUAGGUUACGUGCCGCAGUUCGCAAUUUGCGUUAACUGUGGUCGUGACUUCUAAUUUGCUGGUUUGAGGUUGGGUUCGCCCUUCAACUGCCAGCAGGUUUACCUUGAAUAAAUCAGAGUGCUCAAUACAGGCGCUUGCUUGAAUAGCUCAUCAUGGAAUAAUGAAACAGGACUUCGGUUCUUUUUGUUGGUUCUAGAAUUGAUCUAAUGGUUAAGAGGGACAAACCGGGGGCAUUCGUAUCAUUACGCGAGAGGUGAAAUUCGUGGACCGUAGUGAGACGCCCAAUAGCGAAAGCAUUUGCCAAGAAUGUCUUCAUUAAUCAAGAACGAAAGUCAGAGGUUCGAAGGCGAUUAGAUACCGCCCUAGUUCUGACCGUAAACGAUGCCAUCUCGCGAUUCGGAGGGUUCAUGCCCUACCGAGGAGCUACCCGGAAACGAAAGUCUUUCGGUUCCGGGGGUAGUAUGGUUGCAAAGCUGAAACUUAAAGAAAUUGACGGAAGGGCACCACAAGGCGUGGAGCUUGCGGCUUAAUUUGACUCAACACGGGAAAACUCACCCGGUCCGGACACUAUUAAGGACUGACAGAUUGAAAGCUCUUUCUCGAUUUGGUGGGUUGGUGGUGCAUGGGCCGUUUCUUAGUUGG